AGAGGAGCCUCACAUACCACACAGAUGGGGGUGUUCAUGGGUACCAUGUUUUCACAUUCUACACACAAGCCCAUCUGCACAAAGAAAAGGAUCAGAUAACUAAUGCAUUCUUCAAGACCUUAGUGAAGGAACUGUCUUUUGGAUCUUCUUAUGAAACACAAAUGAAGCUGUUCAUGGUGUGCCUGGAAGAGAAGGCAAGUCCAUGCUCCUGAGGAGACCUUUCACUGACAAAAACUCAAAUGCUUUUAAUCCCAGCACUUGGGAGGCAGAGGCAGGUGGAUCCUUGUGAGUUCAAGGCCAGCCUGGUCUACAAAGUGAGUUCAGGUCAGCUGGGAUUACAGGGA